UGCCAGCAGCCGCGGUAAUACGAAGGGACCUAGCGUAGUUCGGAAUUACUGGGCUUAAAGCGCGCGUAGGCGGCCUGUUAAGUCAGACGUGAAAUCCCCGAGCUCAACUUGGGAACUGCAUUUGAUACUGGCAGGCUAGAGUAUGUUAGAGGAAAGCGGAAUUCCGGGUGUAGCGGUGAAAUGCGUAGAUAUCCGGAGGAACAUCAGUGGCGAAGGCGGCUUUCUGGAACAAUACUGACGCUGAGGUGCGAAAGCGUGGGGAACAAACAGGAUUAGAUA
rnacentral:rRNA from 1 species